rnacentral:misc_RNA from 1 species
UUUUUUUUUUUUUUGUUAAAAGGAAAUUCUUUUGUUUUAAUGGUUUAGUUCAGGAAUUUUUCUUUUUAUUUGAAAAUUUAAAGGAUUUCUUGAAGACUAUUUUUGACGUAAUUUCGUUGUUAUCUACUUUUUUGUCGUUGUUGUUUAUGGGCACCCGCUGGUAUCGUGUUUUAGAUAAGAUAAAGAGAUGAGGUCAAAUAAACUUUCUUUUUAGUUUAGUAUACGGUGAGAUAAUCAAUUCAUUUCAAGUGUUUCUCAGAUCAUUUAUUUCUUUAUAAUCGUUGAUUUGUCCUCUCUCAGGGAAAGCAAGUUUUAUAUGUUACUCCCUUAUUGG